AUUGUAUCCACGAUUGGGGAAUUUUCCGCAAUGGGCGAAAGCCUGACGGAGCAAUACCGCGUGAGGGAGGAAGGCUCUUGGGUUGUAAACCUCUUUUCUCAGGGAAGAAGAAUGACGGUACCUGAGGAAUCAGCAUCGGCUAACUCCGUGCCAGCAGCCGCGGUAAUACGGAGGAUGCAAGCGUUAUCCGGAAUUAUUGGGCGUAAAGCGUCUGUAGGUGGACGUUCAAGUCUGCUGUCAAAGACCGGGGCUUAACCCUGGAAAGGCGGUGGAAACUGAAAGUCUAGAGUGCGGUAGGGGUAGAGGGAAUUCCCAGUGUAGCGGUGAAAUGCGUAGAGAUUGGGAAGAACACCGGUGGCGAAAGCGCUCUGCUGGGCCUGCACUGACACUAAGGGACGAAAGCUAGGGGAGCGAAUGGGAUUAGAUACCCCAGUAGUCAAUCGUGGAUACAAU
rnacentral:rRNA from 1 species